GGACAUCACCUGUCCGAUUGUCAUUACCAUUCAUGCCACUGCCUACUUUUGUGACACAGAGUUGUUCCUUGUGAGGCACUAUGAACAGAAAAUAAACCCAGAGGAGGAAUUGAAUGGUUUGAGAAAGACUAAGAACAUUUUGCUGUGAAGUGUUGUUGCCAGUCAACAAGGUGGUAGUUUGGUGGACAACCUAAGGGGAGAAUGAACAUUUGCUCUUCCUUUCUCCAUAAUCCCUUUGCUGAUGUUGUGUGUCUCAUAAAUCUUCUGCUUAUUCUCCAAACCAAACAGCAUACAAAUGAACAGUGCAAAUCUUGAAUGAAGAGUUUCCAAAAUGUAUUACAUAAAGUAUGUGGAGCUGAAGAAAGCAAAAGGUUGGACCAGGAGUAGUUCAGAGCUCACCCACCAAGCCAUUUAACCUGAGGAGCUGGAGAGAAUGUUCUGUCUCAAGGAAUAUUUGCUAGCCUUUUAGCA
rnacentral:lncRNA from 1 species